GCCAAGGAAACAGAAGUUUCUGGGAGUAUGGAAAUAGCUGUACUUAAAUCCCCGUGCUUGAUGCAGUCAAAGAGGGCUGCGUGUAUGGUGAGGAAUCUCUGGAACUUAUGAGGUGCUGAGGCUUCUGCUGGGGUCAAGAGUCCAGUAGGGAUAGAAUUUGAACCAGCUCUCAGCCAGUUGUUCAGAAAGGCUGCUCACCAUAGACCUCUAAGGAGCUCUUGUGGGUGCCAGAGAAAUCGGCAGGAAAAGCAGCAGAGGACACCAACUGCUGGUUGUUAGCACAUAUACUCAGAUCUACAUUGUGUCUAGCAACUUCUCAGAUUGCGGUAAGAACUGUAAUUCUAUUAGCAUCACACAGAAAGAAUAUGAUUUUUCAAGAAGCGACUUGGCCUUUCUGUGGAAGAGUUUCUCCUUCUUAAGAAGACUGGUAAAAACACAGGGCCAGUGAUUACCAUUUAACAUCAGAAAAGAUGAAAUAAAUGUAUUAACUCUGCCUUGA